AAGCUAUGAAAAGAAAAAGAAAAACCUCAGGUCAUUGAUUUGAACAGGAGACAAGCAGGCAGGCUAGCAGACACAAGCAUACAUAAUGCAUUAUAACUUUCCUGGGCAUGCAGUAACAGAACAUUAGCCUAUACUACUUGACAAACUAUACUACUUUGACAUUCUCUGAACCUAUACUCAAUGGGAAUUGUGUACGGUACAUUUAUGGACAUGACGAUUAUAUAACUAAAAGUAGGCUACACGUAAGCUAGUAUUUUAAAAGGACCAGUACUUUGCAUGUGGCAAUCACAAGACUAAUUGUUCACUACAUAAUUACCCCUCGCUUGAAGCAGGUUAAUACUAUGACAAUACCUGCUAUUCAUUGAUUCAUUGCCUGGGAACAAUAAAACAAAAUCUCCCUUAUGUAACUCAGAUAACCCAAUAAAAACUAGCCUGGUAACAAACCUGUUUGUGCUCUUGUAUACUCCACUGCUCAUUGUCAAGCCAUACAUACACGUUACAGUAGGCAUGAUAGCACAAACAGACUAGCACUCAGGUUAAAAUAAAAUCAGAUUAAAGUAAUUGGUGGGGAAAUGCAGGGUUGGGAGAAGAAGAAAAAACUUUGACCCACAAACACCAGAGUCAACCAGGUCUUGCUUAGCAUCACAGUCAACCAGGUCUUGGUUAACAUCACAGUCAACCAGGUCUUGGUUAACAUCACAGACAACCAGGUCUUGGUUAACAUCACAGUCAACCAGGUCUUGGUUAACACCACAGUCAACCAGGUCUUGGUUAACUCCCACAGUCAACCAGGUCUUGGUUAACACCACAGUCAACCAGGUCUUGGUUAACAUCACAUACAACCAGGUCUUGGUUAACAUCACAGACAACCAGGUCUUGGUUAACACCACAGUCAACCACGUUUUGGGUAUUUUAAAGAUGCCCUACUACAUCUGAUCAUGCAGCUACCCAACCUCCUUGCUCCGGCCAAACGCAACGCCACACCCACAGACGUCAGCUUCCUCUCAGCAAUGAGUCUGGAUCUGAGUAACUCCCAGACGAUGUCUAGAACGGAUUUCUGAUUGGUCCCUGAAACCGAUGUGUUGGGCCAGAACACACUUGGUUAAAGCAGUGUUUUUAAAAUGUGUCAUUGGCUUUGAUACUCUGAUUGGUUAGAGAUGAUCCAAUCGCUGAUGACUGACUAUGUUUUGUACAACACCCCUCAUUGUGACGUCACCACCGACGACUUCAAUGACGGCCGUCUCAGACUGAACUACGUAGUGAACGAUAGAGCAACGGAAGACUUCGGUUUGAGUCGUCAGCCAAGCGAUACAGGACAGAGAAGUGAUCCGUGUGGCUGGUAAAACUCAGGAAUUCCAUUUAUACAUUAUACACAUAGGCUAUAAAUAUACGACAUUGAUAAAUCCAUGAUUCACCUUCUGAAGUCCCAGAGCAAUGCAUACACACGGCCCAAGUGAACUCCGUUUUACUUCUUUAUUGGAAUGAAAAGGCAUACAGAGGUCUUCUCUCUCCCUUUAUCAGUUACAUUCAGAGAACAAACAGCAGUAAGAGGCAUGUUCUACAGCAGUCAGAGGCAUGUUCUACAGCAGUCAGAGGCAUGUUCUACAGCAGUCAGAGGCAUGUUCUACAGCAGUCAGGGGCAUGUUCUACAGCAGUCAGAGGCAUGUUCUACAGCAGUCAGAGGCAUGUUCUACAGCAGUCAGAGGCAUGUUCUACAGCAGUCAGAGGCAUGUUCUACAGCAGUCAGAGGCAUGUUCUACAGCAGUCAGAGGCAUGUUCUACAGCAGUCAGAGGCAUGUUCUACAGCAGUCAGAGGCAUGUUCUACAGCAGUCAGGGGCAUGUUCUACAGCAGUCAGAGGCAUGUUCUACAGCAGUCAGAGGCAUGUUCUACAGCAGUCAGAGGCAUGUUCUACAGCAGUCAGAGGCAUGUUCUACAGCAGUCAGAGGCAUGUUCUACAGCAGUCAGAGGCAUGUUCUACAGCAGUCAGAGGCAUGUUCUACAGCAGUCAGAGGCAUGUUCUACAGCAGUCAGAGGCAUGUUCUACAGCAGUCAGAGGCAUGUUCUACAGCAGUCAGGGGCAUGUUCUACAGCAGUCAGGGGCAUGUUCUACAGCAGUCAGAGGCAUGUUCUACAGCAGUCAGGGGCAUGUUCUACAGCAGUCAGAGGCAUGUUCUACAGCAGUCAGAGGCAUGUUCUACAGCAGUCAGAGGCAUGUUCUACAGCAGUCAGAGGCAUGUUCUACAGCUCUGUAUGCCAUAGCUCCUUUUGCAUAUUUAAUUCAAUUGUAUAGAAUUGUAGCUUUCACCCUUAUUGCAUAGUAUAGUUGCCAUGGAGCCCUAAUAGCAGCCUAAGCAUAGAGCUCCUGUAAAAUGUACACAUACACUACCGGUCAAAAGUCAAAACACCUACUCAUUCAAGGGUUUUUCUUUAUUUUUUUACAAUUUCCUACAUUGUAGAAUAAUGGUGAAGACAUCAACACUAUGAAAUAAAGCGCAUGGAAUCAUGUAUUAACCCCCCCAAAAAAUCUAUAAAAUCAACAUUGAUUUUAUAUUUGAGAUUUUUCAAAUAGCCACCCUUUGCCUUGAUGACAGCUUUGCAGCGUCACCUGGAAUGCUUUUCCAACCGUCUUGAAGGAGUUCCCACAUAUGCUGAGCCCUUGUUGGCUGCUUUUCCUUCACUCCGCAGUCCAACUCAUCCCAAACCAUUUCAAUUGGGUUGAGGUUGGGGGAUUGUGGAGGCCAGGCCAUCUGAUGCAAAAUAGCCCUUACACACAGCCUGGAGGUGUGUUGGGUCAUUGUCCUGCUGAAAAACAAAUGAUAGUGGGACUAAACCCAAACCAGAUGUGAUGGUGUAUUCCUGCAGAAUUCUGUGGUAGACAUGCUGGUAAGGUGUGCCUUGAAUUCUAAAUACAUCUCAGACCGUGUCACCAGUAAAGCACCCUCACACCAUCACACCUCCUCCUCCAUGCUUCACGGUGGGAAAUACAUGUGCGGAGAUCAUCCGUUCACCCACACAGAGUCUCACAAAGACACGGUGGAUGGAACCAAAAGUCUCCAAUUUGGACUCCAAUCCAAAGGACAAAUUUCCACCGGUCGAAUGUCUAUUGCUCGUGUUUCUUGGCCCAAGGAAAGAAGAGGAAAUCUCUUCUUAUUAUUGGUGUCCUUUAGUAGUGGUUUCUUUGCAGCAAUUUGACCAAGAAGGCCUGAUUCACACAGUCUCCUCUGAACAGUUGGUGUUGAGAUGUGUCUGUUACUUGAUGUUUGAAGCAUAUAUUUGGGCUGCAAUUUCUGAGGCUGGUAACUCUAAUGAACUAAUCCUCUGUAGCAGAGGUAACUCCGGGUCUUCCAUUCCUGUGGCGGUCCUCAUGAGAGCCAGUUUCAUCAUAUCGCUUGAUGGUUUUUGCGACUGCACUUUAAGAAAUGUUCAAAGUUCUUGAAAUGCUCCGUAUUGACCAACCUUCAUGUCUUAAAGUAAUGGACUGUUGUUUAUCUUUGCUUAUUUGAGCUGCUCUUGCCAUAAUAUGGACUUGGUAUUUUACCAAAUAGGGCUAUCUUCUGUAUACCCCCCUACCUUGUCACAACACAACUGAUUGGCUCAAACGCAUUAAAGAGUAAAGAAAUUCCACAAAUCUACUUAAGGCACACCUGUUAAUUGAAAUGCAUUCCAGGUGACUACCUCAUUAAGCUGGUUGAGAGAAUGCCAAGAGUGUGCAAAGCUGUCAUCAAAGCAAAGUGUGGCUAUUAGAAGAAUAUCAAAUUUAAAAUAUAUUUAGACACUUUUUUGGUUACUAUAGGAUUCCAUGUGUUAUUUCAUAGUUUUGAUGUCGUCACUAUUAUUCUACAAUGUAGAAAAUAGUCAAAAUAAAGAAAAACCCUUGAAUGAGUAUGUGUUCUAAAACGUUUGACCGGUAGUGUAUAUACACACAAAAGUAUGUGGACACCCCUUCAAAUUAGUGGCUGUCAGGUGUAUAAAAUCGAGCACACAGCCAUGAAAUCACAACUGGCAAACAUUGGCAGUAGAAUGGCCUGUACUGAAGAGCUCAGUGAUUUUCAACAUGGCACCGUCAUAAGAUGCCACCUUUCCAACAAGUCAGUUUGUAAAAUUUCUGCCCUGCUAGAGCUGCCCUGGUCAACUGUAAGUGUUAUUGUGAAGUGAAAACGUCUAGGCACAACAACGGCUCAGCCACGAAGUGGUAGGUCACACAAGCUCACAGAACGGGACCGCGGAGUGCUGAAUCCCGUAGCGCGUAAAUAUCAUCUGUCCUCGGUUGUAACACUCACUACCGAGCUCCAAACUCCCUCUGGAAGCAAUGUCAGCACAAUAACUGUUCGUCGGGAGCUUCAUUAUAUGGGUUUCCAUGACCAAGCAGUCACACACACAAGCCUAAGAUCACGAUGUGCAAUGCCAAGCAUCGGCUGGAGUGGUAUAAAGCUCGCCUCCACUGGACUCUGGAGUAGUGGAAAUUCGUUCUCCAGAGUGAUGAAUCACGCUUCACUAUCUGGCAGUCCGACAGACAGAACUGGGUUUGGCAGAUGUCAGGGGAAUGCUACCUGCCCCAAUGCAUAGUGCCAACUGUAAAGUUUGGUGGAGGAGGAAUAAUAGUCUGGGGCUGUUUUUCAUGGUUCGGGCUAGGCCACUUAGUUACAGUGAGGGGAAAUCUUAACGCUAUAUUAUACAAUGACAUUCUAGAUGAUUCUAUGCUAACCAACCUUGAGGCAACAGUUUGAGGAAGGUCCUUUCUUGUUUCAGCAUGACAAUGCCCCCAUGCAUAAAACGAGAUCCAUACAAAAAUACGUUGGCGAGAUUAGUGUGGAAGAACUUGACUGUCCUCCACAGAGCCCUGACCUCAACCCCCUCGAACACCUUUGGGAAGAAUUGGAACGCAGACUGCGAGCCAGGCCUAAUCGCCCAACAUCAGUGCACAACCUCACUAAUGCUCUUGUGGCUGAAUGGAAGCCAGUCCCCGCAGCAAUGUUCCAACAUCUAGUGGAAAGCCUUUCCAGAAGAGUGGAGGCUGUUGUAGCAGCACUGUUCCAACAUCUAGUGGAAAGCCUUUCCAGAAGAGUAGAGGCUGUUAUAGCAGCGAAGGGCAGGGGGGGGGGGACCAACUCCAUAUUAAUGCCCAUGAUUCUGGAAUGAGAUAGUCGACAAGCAGGUGUCCACAUACUUUUGGUUGGGUGUGUGUAUGUAUGUCUGUAGAGCGACUUUUUAGUGCCAAAAAUCAGGGAUUAAAUCCUUCCCAGAAGAGUGGAGGCUGUUAUAUAUUGCUUGUUUGUUUUUGAAGCACAUUGAGAUUCUUUGAAAAGCGCUAUAGAAACUUAAUAAAUUAUUAUUAAAUAUAAAUA